AGAAAAAUAUGAAAGUUAAUUAAAAAAAAAAAAACCAGCUUUCUUAAACCACCAACACUCAGUUUCCAGAGAUAAAACUUUAUUUGAGGCAUCAAGCAAUAAUACUGAAGGAGGUGAGUCAAGCACAAGUGAUGUCCUUAUUUCCAUAAUUGUCCAUCUGGACUGAGCGCCCUCUUGUAAGAAGUGUGUAGUGAAUGAAGAUGAGAGGCACAAAGCUUUCAGACAUGACCAUAUUUAUGUGAGUGCUUAAGAAAGUCUCCUUUAACUUUCGUUGUUCCUUCUUUAAAAGGGAUUCUUGUCUUCUGGAAUUCCUUUCACCAGAGGAUCUUCUCCAGAACGUUCUUCAAUAUAGUUACCUGUUGUCUCUGCAACUUGACUUCUUUGCGAAGUUGCUCAACUUCCAUCUUCAGCUUUUCCUUUUCUGGCAGAUCUUCGAUGUGAAGGGCUGGCAUUUUCACCCCAGAACCAGCCACAGGGGCAGCUCUGGAAGUGGAGCGCCUGGACGGGUGGCAAACUCUGGCGCCUCCUGAAAUAACUGCGCUGCUGGCGCACCCCGCCUGCGCAGGAGGUGACUGCCUCCCCGGGCCGUGGUCCCCAGCGCCCCGACGACGUCCUCUAACGCCAGCCCUGCCUAGCGUCCCACGGUCUUAAAAGCUCUGGGCUCUUUCUCAGGUCCCCACUACCCCGGGAGGCCUGCCCCAGUGAGUCCAGGGAGGGUUCAGUUUGCGGGGCGGCUGAAAUAGUGAGGCCGUGCGCUCUCCCGCGGGGAUGCCGCUCCCCGGCUCCCGACCCUGCCACGCCCGCGGAGGACCGGCCUGGGCUGGAGCCCAAGGUUGGAGCUGAGCUAGCCCACUUCCACUUUCCUGGAGA
rnacentral:lncRNA from 9 species